rnacentral:rRNA from 1 species
AACGAACGCUGGCGGCAGGCUUAACACAUGCAAGUCGAACGCCCCGCAAGGGGAGUGGCAGACGGGUGAGUAACGCGUGGGAAUCUACCCAGAUCUUCGGCACAACUGAGGGAAACUUCAGCUAAUACCGGAUACGCCCUACGGGGGAAAGAUUUAUCGGUUCUGGAUGAGCCCGCGUUGGAUUAGCUAGUUGGUGAGGUAACGGCUCACCAAGGCGACGAUCCAUAGCUGGUCUGAGAGGAUGAUCAGCCACACUGGGACUGAGACACGGCCCAGACUCCUACGGGAGGCAGCAGUGUGGAAUAUUGGACAAUGGGCGAAAGCCUGAUCCAGCCAUGCCGCGUGAGUGAUGAAGGCCUAGGGUUGUAAAGCUCUUUCAGUGGGGAAGAUAAUGACGGUACCCACAGAAGAAGCCCCGGCUAACUUCGUGCCAGCCGCCGCAGUAACAC